UUGGAGGGCAAGUCUGGUGCCAGCAGCCGCGGUAGUUCCAGCUCCAAUAGCGUAUAUUAAAGUUGUUGCAGUUAAAAAGCUCGUAGUUGAAUUUCGGGAUCGAUGGGUCGGUCAUGCCCUCGGUAUGUACUGAUCCCAUUGGUUCUCACCUUCUAAGGAACCAUGAUGUCAUUCGGUUGAUGUUGUGGGGAAUUAGGACUGUUACCUUGAAAAAAUUAGAGUGUUUAAAGCAGGCCAACGCUUGAAUACAUUAGCAUGGAAUAAUGAAAUAGGACAUCCGAUUCUAUUUUGUUGGUUUCUAGGAUCGAUGUAAUGAUUAAUAGGGAUAGUUGGGGGCAUUAGUAUUCAAUCGUCAGAGGUGAAAUUCUUGGAUUUAUUGAAGACUAACUACUGCGAAAGCAUUUGCCAAGGAUGUUUUCAUUAAUCAAGAACGAAAGUUAGGGGAUCGAAGACGAUCAGAUACCGUCGUAGUCUUAACCAUAAACUAUGCCGACUAGGGAUCGGAUGAUGCUUAUUUUUUAAUGACUCAUUCGGCGCCUUACGGGAAAC
rnacentral:rRNA from 1 species